GGAUUCCCCUAGUAACGGCGAGUGAAGCGGAUGAGCUCAAAUUUGAAAUCUGGCGGUCUACGGCCGUCCGAGGUGUAAUCUAUAGAGUGUUAUUCGUGCCGGACCGUGUACAAGUCCCUUGGAACAGGGCGUCAUAGAGGGUGAGAAUCCCUGCCAUGACACGGACUACCGGUGCUCUGUGAUACACCUUCAAAGAGUCGAGUUGUUUGGGAAUGCAGCUCAAAAUGGGUGGUAAAUUCCAUCUAAAGCUAAAUACAGGCGAGAGACCGAUAGCGAACAAGUACCGUGAGGGAAAGAUGAAAAGAACUUUGGAAAGAGAGUUAAACAGUACGUGAAAUUGUUGAAAGGGAAACGCUUGGAGUCAGUCGCGUUUGCCAGGACUCAGCCUUGCUUCUGCUUGGUGCACUUCCUGGUGAAUGGGCCAGCAUCGAUUUUGGUCGCCGGAAAAGGGCGGGAGGAAUGUGGCAGCUUGCUGUGUUAUAGCCUUCGUCGUACACGGUGUCUGGGAUCGAGGACUGCAGCACGCCUUUGGUCGGGGUUCGCCCACGCCACGUGCU
rnacentral:rRNA from 1 species